GAUGAACGCUGGCGGCGUGCCUAAUACAUGCAAGUCGAGCGAACAGAUGAGGAGCUUGCUCCUCUGACGUUAGCGGCGGACGGGUGAGUAACACAUGGAUAACCUACCUAUAAGACUGGGAUAACUUCGGGAAACCGGAGCUAAUACCGGAUAAUAUAUUGAACCGCAUGGUUCAAUAGUGAAAGACGGUUUUGCUGUCACUUAUAGAUGGAUCCGCGCCGCAUUAGCUAGUUGGUACGGUAACGGCUUACCAAGGCAACGAUGCGUAGCCGACCUGAGAGGGUGAUCGGCCACACUGGAACUGAGACACGGUCCAGACUCCUACGGGAGGCAGCAGUAGGGAAUCUUCCGCAAUGGGCGAAAGCCUGACGGAGCAACGCCGCGUGAGUGAUGAAGGUCUUCGGAUCGUAAAACUCUGUUAUUAGGGAAGAACAAAUGUGUAAGUAACUAUGCACGUCUUGACGGUACCUAAUCAGAAAGCCACGGCUAACUACGUG
rnacentral:rRNA from 1 species